rnacentral:lncRNA from 1 species
CCUGGCGCCCCCACAACUGAGCCAACCAAGCCUCCCUACAGCUACAUCGCCCUUAUUGCUAUGGCCAUCCAGAGCUCACCGGGGCAGCGGGCCACCCUCAGUGGCAUCUACCGCUACAUCAUGGGCCGAUUCGCCUUCUACCGCCACAACCGGCCCGGCUGGCAGAACAGCAUCCGCCACAACCUGUCACUCAACGAGUGCUUUGUCAAGGUGCCCCGCGAUGACCGCAAGCCAGGCAAGGGCAGCUACUGGACGCUGGACCCUGACUGCCACGACAUGUUUGAGCACGGCAGCUUCCUACGCCGCCGCCGCCGCUUCACCCGGCAGACAGG